ACCAUACCUUGCUGCCCGCCAUUGUGCUCCUUGCCAUGUCAAUCAUGGACUGACUCUCAGACACAGAGGAAGGGGAAUCAUCUUGUGAUCCUCUCUGUUUGCAAGGAGCAUGUUGUCACAAGAAAGACAGCGUGUCCAGUAUCUGCUCAAGAAGUUGAUGUUGUUAGGAUCUGGUAAAUUCAAUGAUAUAUGUUCAGAGGAACAGUACCCAUGGAUGCCAGAAGAGGGCAACUGAUCCUCUGGGAACUGGACCAGAGUCCUCCAAGAGCGGCAAGUGCUCAUAACUUCUGAGCCACCUCUCCAUGCACAGCC